UGUCCUCCAAAUAAGGACCAGUAUGAAUGGCAACAUGAGAAAGAAACUGUCUCUUAAGGCCAGCCAAUGAACCUGAUCUGCUUGUAAAAAAGCAAGCAUAUUAAAACAAGACAAAAAGACCCUGUGAAACUUCAAAUAUUCGUCAAAAUAAUUACCAAAAUAUUUUUAGUUGGGGCAACUCAGGAGUAAACCAAUCCUCCUCAUCAACCAAGGCCAACAAGCCAAAGUAGCCAACACCACCAGAUCCAGUAAAACUGACCAAAGAACCAAGCUACUCCAGGGAUAACAGCGCCACAUUCUUUAAGAGUCCAUAUCAACAAGAAUACCUACGACCUCGAUGUUGGAUCAGGAUAUCCUAAUGGCGCAGAAGCUAUUAAGGGUUCGUUUGUUCCAACGACUAACAU
rnacentral:rRNA from 1 species